AAUCCCUACGGGACGCAGCAGUAGGGAAUAUUGGGCAAUGGGGGAAACCCUGAACCAGCAACGCCGCGUGAGGGAAGACGGUUUUCGGAUUGUAAACCUCUGUCCUCUGUGAAAAUAAUGACGGUAGCAGAGGAGGAAGCUCCGGCUAACUACGUGCCAGCAGCCGCGGUAAUACGUAGGGAGCAAGCGUUGUCCGGAUUUACUGGGUGUAAAGGGUGCGUAGGCGGCUUUGCAAGUCAGAAGUGAAAUCCAUGGGCUUAACCCAUGAACUGCUUUUGAAACUGCAGAGCUUGAGUGGAGUAGAG
rnacentral:rRNA from 1 species